ensembl:lncRNA
AGUUUCUACCUGAAGAUCCUUCCUUUUGGAGUAUUAGAUGAGUCUUGAUUCUUGGGAUGAUUUCAACUGUCUCUGUACAUAAAAUAAGAGCCAUGGCUGCUGUUAGAACAAAUCAGUGGAAGCUCCCCAGAGCAGUGGACCAGUUCUGUGUCUGACUGAAAUAAAAACAAAUCCAGAAAUUGAAGGAAAAUCUUCAGUAAUCAGAUGAGCAAUUUGUGACAUCCAGAGCUGUAGAAGCCGAGUAUCUUAGAAGAAGAUAAAGAAGCACAUGCAGAGGUGCCAAGGAUGAGAAAGGCAGCUUGAAUUCUGUCAAGGAAGCAGCAAAAUGUGCUACUGAACCUUCUCAGAAUUUUCAGAUGAUUUCCAGAAUUCACACCAUUGUAGUCCUUUCUUAAUUGCAAAAUGUCACAGAACUGGAGCUGAACCUCCUUGAACAGAGGUUAAAUUGGACCUGGUUCCACUUAUAUCAUCCGUGCAUUAAUCUCAUCAUGGGAGAAACAAUAAAUCAAGUCAGGACCUCUGAGACUGGGUACUUCUGUAAGAGUUCCUUCCUAUUGAGUAGUGCAUGGAGAAAAUCAAUCUCCGUUUUUAGAUUCUUGCUUCCAUGAGCAGUAAUUAAUCAUGUUAAACUAGCGGUAUAAAAAUAGAUCAUGUGUAAAACAGCUUCUUAAUUUCCCUGCAGGUUUGUUUCUUUUUUCUUUUUUUUUUUUUUUCCAGUGAAUUUAACUCAAUUUCAUGUCAGUGGAAAUUCCUUUCAGAAACUGGUGUGGUCACUUUCCCCAUAAGAAUAGAUAAAGAUUUGAAGAAUUGUAUACCUUUUGCUGUGCAGCUUUUCCUGUCAAGUACUUUUAUUUCUCCAUGCAUGCAGUCUGCCUCUUGUGAGAUCUUGUGAUGGGCAGUGCUAAGCCUGUUGUUAGUCUGAUAUCAUUACUGAGUCGGCUGGGAAGGGUUUUCUGCUGCCAUACCGAGCAAUUUCCCAGUGGUUGUAGGACCAGAAAGCUUCACCAGCAUUCUGUGAGGGUGGAGAGGAUCCUGCAGACCACAAAGACUCCUACCACAUGUUACUUUUUUCUUGUCCAGUGUAAGGGAUAUGUAUGCACAUAGAUAUAUGCAUAUAUACAUCAUCAACAAACAUCAGAUUUAUGUAACAACUAAUUUCAAACUCUUAAUCUAUAAAAAACGUUGAAUCUAUUCCUUAAUCUAAUGUGGUUAAGAGAUUUUUUUCUAUGAGGUCUAUUGGUCAAUGUCAGGAAAAUUUCUGCUCCAAUAAGCUUGCUCAAUCAUCUUUAUCCCAACAAGAGACAGAAGAGAGUCUUCAGCUCUCUUUAUCUGAAAAAAAAAAGGAGAGUCCACAACAGCAUUGCCCUGUGGGGUCUCUCAAAAUACUGGGGGACACAGCCUUGCUUGAAGAGAAGAUGAAGCCUAGAGGUCUGUCUACAUUUUUGAUCAUGUUCUCAUCUUGUGUGCUGAUCGCUGGAUUUACAAGUGUUGUUCUUUUGUCUGUUUAAUGGUUGGAAAUAUUUCACGUAAAUAUCUAUUCCAUAACAUUUUCUGCUUUCUUUAUGCAUAUUUACUCAUUGGUUGAACUGUGACAUAAAAUAAUAAAGCAGGUAGGAU